rnacentral:rRNA from 1 species
CCUACGGGGGGCAGCAGUGAGGAAUAUUGGUCAAUGGACGAGAGUCUGAACCAGCCAAGUAGCGUGAAGGAUGACUGCCCUAUGGGUUGUAAACUUCUUUUAUAUGGGAAUAAAAUGUUCCACGUGUGGGAUUUUGUAUGUACCAUAUGAAUAAGGAUCGGCUAACUCCGUGCCAGCAGCCGCGGUAAUACGGAGGAUCCGAGCGUUAUCCGGUUUUAUUGGGUUUAAAGGGCGGGUAGGUGGAUUGUUAAGUCAGUUGUGAAAGUUCGCGGCUCAACCGUAAAAUUGCAGUUGAAACUGGCAGUCUGGAGUACAGUAGAGGUGGGCGGAAUUCGUGGUGUAGCGGUGAAAUGCUUAGAUAUCACGAAGAACUCCGAUUGCGAAGGCAGCUCACUGGACUGCAACUGACACUGAGGCUCGAAAGUGUGGGUAUCAAACAGGAUUAGAUACCCCAGUAGUC